GGAGUAGGUCGGGUAAUCGCAGAACCGCAAAAGCGCAAAAUGCAGGGCAGUAGCAGCGCUUGCAAAAAGGCAAAAAAAUAAAUUUUGCAUUUUUGCUGAAGUACCUAUUGAAUGCUGUUUUGCGUUUUUGCGGUUCUGAGGAAAGUCCGGGCUCCCCAGAGCAGCGUAGCGGCUAACAGCCGUCCACCACGAGGUGAGGAAUAGGACCACAGAGACGAGUCCCGCACCACUUACUUUAUGAAGUGAAUGGUGCGGGGGUGAAACGCGGUAACCUCUACGCGGAGCAAGGCCAAAUAGAUCCCGAUUAAGGAAUGGCUCGUUCCUACCGUUUUUAUGGGUAUCGGGAUGGGUAGGCUGCUUGAAGUUGUCAGUAAUGGCAACUCUAGAUAGAUGAUUACAUGGUGAGAAGACAGACUUAUGAAAAUUUUCAUAAGUCCAGCGCUCAUUAACAGAACUCGGCUUACAGACCUACUUCGCCC
rnacentral:RNase_P_RNA from 1 species